GUAUAAAGUGUAUCAUUGGAAAAUUGACAGAAGUUAUUUUUAAUCUUUUCUAAUAUUUGGUUUGUUCCCUGGUUUCUAAUAUCAUACUGUAUUAUUCACAUUAGUGAAAUCAAGAUUUGCAUUCAUUUAGUCAUAAACACAUUAUUGUGUUUAUUUUGAGGUUUAAAUUGUAUUAUACCACAGAUUUUCACUGGCAUGUUCUCCCUGUGUCAGUGUGGGUUUAUGCCGGGUACUCUGGUUUCUUCCCACAGUCCAAAGACAUGCAGGUUAAGGCUCGUACAGACUACAUGACUUUAAAACGUUGGUCCGAACUGUGCGGUUCACACUACAUGACUUGCUCUCUGUGAAAUCAGGAGUGUUCACGUUGUUGAUCAGUUCACACCACACGACAUAACGUGACUGCCCCACAACAGGAGGUAACGCACUACACGAGUUGAGAACAACUCUAUCACCCGGCGAUUCUAUCUUGUCCACAAACCACGUUUUGUCACGAAAAAUCACGCGAUAAAACAAACCGGAAAUGACGCGAAACAACACGCGCACCAGUAAACCCACAGAAGAAGAAUGAAGACGACGCGCAAAACUUUUGUUUGUAUAUAUAGACUUCAGACAGAAAUUCGUGCUGCAAACCGUUUGCGCGAUGCAAAGCCGCAAAAGAAAAAAAUGAAGAGAUGUGUAUGUGGAGAGGUGGAUCAACACCACACGAGGACAGCAGGGAUUUAAGAGUUGGAGAAUAGGACAGGCUUCGCAAAGCAUGACUUGGAGAGCGUUUGUCUUUGACCCUGCGAUUCUAUGCAACAGGUGACACGUUCAAGUCCCUCAGGUUCAAGUCCAGGAUGGGGGACCAGCACCAUCCCACAAAUAGUUUUGGAUAGCUGUUCUGUACCAGGUUAUAAAGGACGAUUUCUUGAAGACACCAUCAACGGAAGGAGAGUGGCAUAGCCGUGGACUUCGAAAGGAAGUGGCAGUUUCCACAUUGCUUUGGGGUACUUGCUACCACUCCAGCUGUAGCAGACUGCUGACCAAAACAUGGUUGAUGGGCAAUGGAAGAAUCGUGGGACGGGUGCUUUUCAACCGAUGAACACCACCUCACAUCGCAAUUGUAUGGCAACAGCAAAAGUGCAACACAAUCUGAUGCGGGACUACUUUGUCUCACCAGCGUGUAGUGUUUAUUGGCAAGUUCAACACAUUUUAAAAGGAACUGAUGUAGAGUUAUCCCUGCAAACAGCAGAUUAAAGCCAGUUAUUGUCAGUUUAGGACAUUCGUUUUCUUGUGUGUUCUAAAGUCCUGUAUUUGUAAAGAACACAAUGUGGUUCACUUUUUCAUUGUUUUAAGUAUUCUGUUUAUUGUUGUGUUAUUAUUCAAUUAAUUUUAAUUGCAUACAAAUCAAAAGGUGCAGGAAUGUAACAAAUAAAGGCAAUCUGCAUGUUACAUAAUACUAACUUUAUUUCUUGAUCCACACUCAUUAUUCACAGAACAUUAACAAUGUUUCUAUACUACGGCGCUAAACAUCAACAUAUCUGAUCAUGCUAAAAAUUUAUGGGGAUUGUGAUGAUAAGCUCUGGGCAUUUUUACUCAAUGUGGAUUAAUCUAACAGCCAAUCACACACAAUUAUAUUACGAUAUUUAUAUAUCACCCAGCCCUUAAAAGGGCUCUACAUAGGGAUUUUUGUAAUGUUUAAUUGUGUUAAUGUGGUGCACUGCACGUGUUCUAACAAUGUAUAUUUUGUCUGUCCACAUAAUAUACAUUCAAAUGUACUACAUUGUUUUCAAGUUGCACAAACAACAAUGCAAGGCUAUAAAGCACUA